CAACCACAAGAAUCUCUGCUAAGAAUUUUGAUUAGUGGAAUCAGGUGUGUAACCGCUUGGUUGGAAUGAAAGCCUGCAUCCACACUGGCCCUUUCUGGAUAAGAUUGAGGACCCCUGUUUAAAACGAAUGUGUGUUGUGGUACCUUUUAUUAGAAAGCUAACGUAACUAGCUAGCUAGCUAGUGCUGAGAGGAAACGUCAGUGGGCCGGGUUUUUUUUGUUUGUUGGAGUUGUUUUUUGUUGUUGGAUUUGAACUGCUGUGCUGGAUCCUGGAUUCGUCCGCCCUGCUUGCCUUCCCUGGAGAGCUACAGCGGCGCGCGGACUGGCGAGCCACCCAUGUGAUCGACCUGAAAUCUUAAAGAGAAGGAAAGAGUUCAAUUGUGCUUUCUAAGAUGGUGGUAGGACAAGAGUUUGAAUUCUACAAACUGGAACUCAGCAACAAGUGGUCCAACAACCACACGGACUAAACUGAUUUGCACAGAUAGUGUUUUAGAAAAGUGUUUUGGUAUUAUAGUGUGAUAAGUUUCCUUUGCAUAGGUACUUUCAGUAGUACUACAUAAGGGUCUUGCUUUCAAAAUAAAAGUCCUAAAAUCUAAUUAGUGACAAAUCAUACUAGAACCAAAUAACUAAUAAUAGGGAUUAACUGAAACACAUCAAAGAAAUACUAAAGUAUGGUUAAGGUAUAAAGAUAGGAAAAAUAGUCAAAUUAGUGGAACCAGAGAAAAUAUAAAUACAGACACAAAGUAAAAGGGCUUGGGACCAACUUGUAUU